UGAGCAAAUACUGACUGACGGAACAUGAGAGGUUUUCAUCUCAGCCAGAGGCCACACUCACUCCACUCUGCUUAUAUCCAAGCCUCAACUCUGCUGAUGACUCAUCUCCUUGCCUUAUUAGACUUCCCAUGCUAUCGGCAUGCUGGUGC